rnacentral:rRNA from 1 species
AUUGAACGCUGGCGGCAGGCUUAACACAUGCAAGUCGAGCGGAUGAAGGGAGUUUGCUCCUGGCUUCAGCGGCGGACGGGUGUGUAAUGCCUAGGAAUCUGCCUGGUAGUGGGGGAUAACGUCCGGAACCGGGCGCUAUACCCGAAUACGUUCUGUGGGAGAAAGUGGGGGUUGUUCGGCCUUCACGCUAUCAGAUGAGCUCAGGUCGGAUUAGCUAGUUGGUGGGGUAAAGGCCUACCAAGGCGACGAUCGGUAACUGGUCUGAGAGGAGGAUCAGUCACAGUGGAGCUGAGAGACGAUCCAGGGACCGACGGACGGCAGCGAUGGGGAAUAUAGGACGAAGGGCGAAAGCCUGAUCCAGGCGUGGCGGCUGGGUGAAGAAGGUCUGCGGAUGGUAUAGCGCUUUAAGUUGGGAGAAAGGGCAGUAAGUGAAGACCUUGCUGUUUUGACGUUACCAGCAGAAGAAGCACCGGCUAACUUCGUG